AAGAAGAGCUCGGCGUCUGCGAGAGCAACGGAGGAAGUGGGAGACGCUCGGAACGUGGGAAGUGGGAAGGCAGGCAUGCAAGCUCGGCUCGACGUGGGAGACGCGGAACGAGGCGAAGAGACGAGCCCCGAAGCCACGUGUGUGGGGUACGACGAGGUGGACGUGGGACGAGGUAAGGGGGAGUUGAGCUCCGAAGCUCAGGCCGUGGGGUACGGGAGUGGAUGAGUGAUGGUGAGGAGUGAAGAGUGAUGGUCCGGGUUUCAUGGGAAAAGGGAGGAAGUAUUUAAUGUGGUGUAUGCUUUGGGAUAUGGGACGUGAAUUGAGUGAUACUUUGUAUGGGUCUUCUCUCACCCAAAAGAGAGUGUGUUAUUUUCAUUGCACUGGUCUAGCUCUCACCGUAAGACGAGCUGAAAAAUAUAUCAUUCCGUUUCUCCCUUUUGUUCCUACUUGGCUCGACUUCAUCCUUCUCUCUUGUUCACCUUUCCUGCUUCUGAUCGGGACCUAUCACAAUCAGCAAUGAGCGCAGUCAAUCAAAAUAUUUUUCAGGCAUGUGUCCAAAUUGAAAGCAAUGCCAAAGAUUGAAGGGAAGAACCGAUCUCAAAUUGCAAUUAGAGUGCGGAGGGCUUGCUUAAGACCUUUACAUGGAGGCUCGGAAAUGAACUUGCUCCGACCCAUGUGCCCACGCCCAAGUCUGGUCCGAGCCCAGGCCUUCUCUUACAUGACAAACCUAUUAAAAAAAUUAUGCUCCCGAGGAGACGGGAGGGCGACGAAGAAAAAGAGAAAUAGCAGCCCGUAACACGAAGGUGAGUAUUGCAGUGAAAUACGAGGUUGACACUAAGAUCCUCCAUGUUCAUCUUUAGAUCCUAGGUUGUAAUUGGUAUGCCCGGACAUGGAGGAAAGGUGCGUGUGCUAUUUCGAGUGCCCCUUAGCUGCUGAGGUAUUGGAUCUUGCAAAUAUCUUCGCAUGUCGCAGCACUCAAGGUCACUUGAUAGGAGCAGGCUUGAUCUGUCAUAUUGGGCAUCAUCGAUGGCUGGCCCAAAAUGAGUGUUUAACCAAAGCACUUUCCAGCGGUUCAAAUUCCAUGUCAAGCUCAAUACUCCGUUGCCGAAUUCAUGGUUGCAUCUCACUAGGAUAAUCUCUCACCACUUGGGAAAAUUGUUGAAGAUAUUGAUGAUGUUGCAUUGUCCUGAUUGUCGUAUUUGUGGCAAAUUCAUUUUUCUUUGACGGAUACAGAUAUGGAUACGGAUAUUAGUCAAAAUUUCAAAUUUCU